UUCCAGGUCAUCAAUGGUUUUCUCCAACUUUGCCACAGAUCUUUCAGCAAACUCUGCUCGGGUCUCAGCCUCCUUCAGCUUCUCCUCCGGAAGUUUGAUCUCUUCUUCAAAUUUGUCCUCUUUGGUGGAAUCCUCCUCCUCCGAGACUAUCGAGACUAUGGGCGACUUGAGGGAUUGGUCCACGGUUCGAAGCUCCUCCUCCAGCUGCCUGGUUCUGCUCUCAGCCACCUCGGCUCUCUCUUCAGAGCGCUCCAGCUCUCCUUCCAGGAUCACCAGCUUCCUGGCCACCUCCUCAUAUUUGCGUCUGAGUUCUCAGUGAUGUGCUUGGCUUCCUUCAGCCGCAUCUCUUGCUGCUUCAUCUUUUCCUCGUCCUUCAUGGCCCGGUUUUCAAUGAUCUUCAUUCCUCUCUUGCUCUCAUCAGCGGCUUUCUCAGCCUCCUCCAGCUUUUGCAAGGCUGAGAGUCAGGUGCUCCUGUGCCCGAUUCAACUCCUCCUCUAUGAGCUGAAUGCGGCGGUUCAGAGAAGCCACAUUACUUCAGCGUCGGUGGCCUUCUUCUUGGCCUGCUCCAGUUUCUCCUGGGCAUCCGUCACAGACUCAGGAGUACUUUUCUACCUCAUCCCCUGUCCCCUUCAGCUUCUUCUGGAGGCCCGGCUGCUCUUCCUCCAGCUGCUUGCUUCAGUCUUCAGCUUGCUUCUUGUCAGCGUCGACCUGCUCCGUGUGGUUGAUGCUACUCUCCUUGUCUAGUUUCAGCAUCUGCAUCUUUUUCUUUCUUUCUUUCUUUCUUUCUUUCUUUCUUUCUUUCUUUCUUUUCUUUUCUUUUUUUUUUUUU
rnacentral:lncRNA from 1 species